AGUGAGGUCUUCGGAUUGGCUUUGGGGAGCCGGCGACGGCACCCUAUCGCUGAGAAGUCGAUCAAACUUGGUCAUUUAGAGGAAGUAAAAGUCGUAACAAGGUUUCCGUAGGUGAACCUGCGGAAGGAUCAUUAUCGAAAUUAUAGGUGAGGGUUGUAGCUGGCCUCUCGGGGCAUGUGCACGCCCGAGCCCUUAAUCCACACACACCUGUGAACCUAUUGUAAGGGCCCUUAAAAAAGGCCUUUACGUCUUAUCAUCAACCCAUCGUAUGUCUCAUAGAAUGUAAAUAUAUGUCCUCGCCUUAAAAAGCGUUGAUAAACUUAUACAACUUUCAACAACGGAUCUCUUGGCUCUCGCAUCGAUGAAGAACGCAGCGAAAUGCGAUAAGUAAUGUGAAUUGCAGAUUUUCAGUGAAUCAUCGAAUCUUUGAACGCACCUUGCGCUCCUUGGUAUUCCGAGGAGCAUGCCUGUUUGAGUGUCAUUAAAUUCUCAACUCCGAUCGAUUUGUUUCGACUUCGGAGCUUGGAUUUGGAGCGUGCUGGCGUCGGUCGGCUCCUCUUAAAUGCAUCAGCGGAAUCUAACGUUUCGGACGUCAGUGUGAUAAUCAUGUUGCGCUGUCUGUCUGAUCCGAAAGCCCGCUCACAAUGGUCUUCGGACAACUUCAUAUCAAAUUUGACCUCAAAUCAGGUAGGACUACCCGCUGAACUUAAGCAUAUCAAUAAGCGGAGGAAAAGAAACUAACAAGGAUUCCCCUAGUAACUGCGAGUGAAGCGGGAAAAGCUCAAAUUUAAAAUCUGGCGGUCUUGCGGCCGUCCGAGUUGUAAUCUGGAGAAGCGUUUAUCCGCGUCGGACCGUGUACAAGUCUUCUGGAA
rnacentral:rRNA from 1 species